rnacentral:rRNA from 1 species
AUUGAACGCUGGCGGAAUGCUUUACACAUGCAAGUCGAACGGCAGCACGGGGGCAACCCUGGUGGCGAGUGGCGAACGGGUGAGUAAUACAUCGGAACGUGCCCGGUCGUGGGGGAUAACGUAGCGAAAGUUACGCUAAUACCGCAUACGAUCUGAGGAUGAAAGCGGGGGACCUUCGGGCCUCGCGCGAUAGGAGCGGCCGAUGUCAGAUUAGGUAGUUGGUGGGGUAAAGGCCUACCAAGCCGACGAUCUGUAGCUGGUCUGAGAGGACGACCAGCCACACUGGGACUGAGACACGGCCCAGACUCCUACGGGAGGCAGCAGUGGGGAAUUUUGGACAAUGGGCGCAAGCCUGAUCCAGCCAUUCCGCGUGCAGGACGAAGGCCUUCGGGUUGUAAACUGCUUUUGUAUGGAACGAAAAGGCUCUGGCUAAUACCUGGGGCUCAUGACGGUACCGUAAGAAUAAGCACCGGCUAACUACGUG